rnacentral:lncRNA from 1 species
GGGGCGUUGCUGGGAAACAUCUGCCGACGCCUGCGGACCGGCCGACAUGGCGNNNNNNNGGCGGCCUUCCUGCUCCUCGCGGCCCAGGUGAGGCUGCGUCGGCCCCGCCGGCCCCGCCGGUUGCGGCACCCGGGCCCUCUGCCCCAGCCCCGCGCAAGCCCCGACUGGCCUGGCCUGGGGGCCCGCCUCGGGUUUGCGCGCCUCCAGCGCGGCUGGCCCCCAGGCCCGGAGCUCGGCCGUGACCUUGCGGGCCUGUCCCCGGCCAGCCUCUCUUUCCUGCCUUGGAGCCUUCCCCAGCUGCAGCGUCACUCAGCUGUGCCGGGGUCUGAAGUUUGGGAAUUCCCUUACCUCCUCAGGCCCUGCUCUGUCUCGAGGUCUCCAACCGCCGCCGGGGGCGCCGCUGCCUGGCCCCGUGGCCUUGGGCAGGGGGCUGCCCCUCCCCGAGCCUCAGUUUCCCCUUGCGCGCGUUGUUAGCGCCCACCCCCGUGGUUGCGGUGAGCCGUCCAACGCGGCACCCAGUGCCUGACUGUGUCCGGGAGCGGCAAGGGGCCCAUCCUGGGAGUGGGGUCGAAUCGCCGCCCUGCAUUUUGUCCCGUGACCUUGGGCAAGGGAGGUCCCCUCUUUGGCCGUCUGUUGCGCUUCUGCAAAAGGAAGAGAGGAGCACAGCGAGGACUGAGCGGGAUGAUGCAUGGGGUGAUUUACGUGCGGCGUGCAUCUUCUUGGGCACUUAAGUGAAGGGUCUCCCCGGGGAGUGGGGGACCUGCCAUGAGCCGGCUAUGUACGUUAUCAUAAGCGCCUUUUUUAUUUUCAAGUCCUCUCUCCCCUGGGUUAUGCAGUUCAGGGAAUGGUGUCCCUACAGCCCUGCACCCACAGCCAUUAACCUUGAUGUAUCCACUCCAGCCCACCACCUCCACGUAUCUCCUGGUGGCCAGUGUUCUCUCUGUGGUCACUUUCGUCUCCCACAUUCUCCAAUCCAUCCUGGACACAGCAGGAGUGACCUCUUUGAAAGUGUGUCAAGUCUCGUGGCAUCCAGAUGAGAGCCUUCCCAUGGCUUUCAGUGCAUUUGGGAGGCCUCUGUGGUUUGGCUGCUUGGGAAGAAACUUCCUCUCCUUUUCUAUUUGCGGAGGGCACUCAGUUCUCUGGUCUUCCCCGUUUCCCUGGGAUGCCCCUGGUCAUCCUUGUGGUCUCAGCUUGCUUGUUCUUCCCUCCUCCCCAGAGACGCUCUCUGGGACGCCCCCUCCCCAGCCCCCAGCACUCCUCCCGAUGCUGCUCACUCAUUUCCUCGUCUGAGCAAGCUGAGGGCAGGGACUUUGAGCUCUCCAGACAUUUUGAAGGAGAACAAAGUGAGAAGUGGACAAAGGGCAAUGGGAGCACCAUGGAGAGAGUGACCUGGUUUGCUUGGGGAGGCUUUUCAGAAGCAGAGGCACCUAAAGGGUGUUCUGAAGGGUGGAUAAGAGUUUGCCAGGUCUCUCUCUCUCUCUCUCUCUCUCUCUCACACACACACACACACACACACACACACACACCAAAAAAAAAAAAAAAAAGUCCACGCUCCUGGAUAGGAAGAACAAAUAUUGUUAAAACGUCGCUAACUACUGAAAGCAAUCUACAUAUUCAAUGCAUUACCUAGCACUGAAUGCAUUACCCCAGGAUUGUUCAUGGAGCUAGAACAAACAAUCCUACAAUUUGUACGGAACCAGAAGAGACCCCGAAUAGCCAAUGCAAUCCUAAAAAAGAAAACUAAGGCUGGAGGCAUCACAAUCCCAGACUUCAAGCUGUAUUACAAAGCUGUAGUCAUCAAGACAGUAUGGUACUGGCACAAAAACAGACACUCAGAUCAAUGGAACAGAAUAGAGAACCCAGAUAUGGACCCACAGACGUAUGGCCAACUAACCUUUGAUAAAGCAGGAAAGAAUAUCCAGUGGAAUAAAGACAGUCUCUUCAGCAAGUGGUGCUGGGAAAACUGGACAGCGACAGGCAGAAGAAUGAACCUGGACCACUUUCUUAAACCAGACACAAAAAUAAACUCAACAUGGAUGACAGACCUAAACGUAAGACAGGAAGCCGUCAAAAUCUGAGGAGAAAGCAGGCAAAAACCUCUUUGAUCUUGGCCGCAGCAACUUCUUACUCAACACGUCUCCAGAGGCAAGGGAAACAAAAGCAAAAAUGAACUACUGGGACCUCAUCCAAAUAAAAAGCUUCUGCAUAGCGAAGGAAACAAUCAGGAAAACUGAAAGGCAGCUGACGGAAUGGGAAAAGUAUUUGCAAAUGACAUAUCAGAUAAAGGGUUAGUAUCCAAAAUCUAUAAAGAACUUAUCAAACUCAACACCCAAAAAACAAAUAAUCCAUGGGCAAAAGAGCUGAACAGACACUUCUCCAAAGAAGACAACCAGAUGGCCAACCGACACGUGAAAAAAUGCUCCACAUCACUCAUCAUCAGGGAAAUACAAAUCAAAACCACAAGGAGAUACCACCUCGCGCCUGUCAGAAUGUCUAACAUUAACAGCUCAGGCAACACAGAUGUUGGCGAGGAUGCAGACGAAGAGGAUCUCUUUUGCACUGCUGGUGGGAAACAGCCACUCUGGAAAACAGUCUGGAGCUUCCUCAAAAAACGAAAAAUAGAACUACCCUACAACCCAGCAAUUGCACUACUAGGCAUUUAUCCACGGGAUACAGGUGUGCUGUUUCGAAGGGACACUUGCACCCCUAUGUUUAUAGCAGCCCUAUCAACAAUAGCCAAAGUGUGGAAAGAGCCCAAAUGUUCAUUGACGGAUGAAUGGAUAAAGAAGAUGUGGUAUAAUACAAUGGAGUAUUACUCAGCAAUCAAGAAGAAUGAAAGCUUGCCAUUUGCAACAGUGUGGAUAGAACUAGAGUGUAUUAUGCUAAGGGAAAUUAGUGAGAGAAAGACAAAUAUGUGACUUCACUCGUGGAAGGGAAGCAAAAAUAAUACAAAUACAGGGAGGGGGACAAAAUAUAAGACUUUUUUUUUUUUUAAUGUUUAUUUUUGACAGAGACAGAGACAGAGUAGAAGCGGGGUGGGGCAGAGAGAGAGACACAGGAUCUGAAGCAGGCUCCAGGCUCUGAGCUGUCUGCACAGAGCCUGACGUGGGGCUCGAACUCAAGAACCGCGAGAUCGUGACCUGAGCCGAAGUCAGACGCUUAACCAACUGAGCCACUCAGGCGCCCCAAGAGACUCUUAAAGAUAGAGAACAAACUGAGGGCUGCUGGAGGGGUUGCGGGUGGGGGGAUGCGCUAAAUGGGCAAGGGGCAUUAAGGAGGACACUUGUUGGGAUGAGCACUCAGUGUUAUACGUAGGGGAUGAAUCACUGAAUUCUACUGAAAUCAUUGCACUAUAUGCUAACUAACUUGGAUGCAAAUUAAAAAUAAAUAUAUUAUUUUUAAAAAACGGGGAAAUUAAAAGCCGAAGCAAAUGUGACAAAAUAUUAAAGUGAGUUGAGGGGCGUCUGGGUGGCUCAGUUGGUUAAGCGUCUAGCUUGGGCUCAGGUCAUGAUCUCACAGUUCGUGAGUUCGAGCCCCAUGUCGGGCUCUGUGCUGACAGAGCCUGGAGCCUGUUUCAGAUUCUGUGCCUCCCUCUCUCUCUGCCCCUCCCCUGCUCACACUCUGUCUCUCUUUCAAAAAUAAACAAUAAAAAAAUACAGUGAGCUGAGCUGAGUACGUAUUUCAUACUAUCUCAUAAUAUAGUUAUUUUAUAAUAAAAAUAAAAAUUGUAGUAAGUAAAUAAUACAAAAUUAAGUAAAUAACUUCACAUUAAAAAAAAAAAGUUUGCUAGGUCUCAAGGCAGAGGGAGGGUGUUGCCGGUGAUGGGAGGAGCUUGAACAGGGGUGGAGGUGUGAGAGCUGAUAUUUUAUUUUGAGAAGGUGAAGAGGCCACUUUGGCGUGUAGGAUGAUAUCAUGCUCACGCCCUGAGAAAGACGACACCCCCAAGGAGGCCCUUCGGAUGCACUUGAAGGAGGCUCGCGGGAGGGCAGGGGGAGGGGCAGCGGUGGGCGUGGCUGGCGGCCGAGGGUAAAGGGCAGGCUUCGCCGCGGCCUCCUGGGCGGACCGAGGAGGGCAGUGCUCCCGGUGCUGGGGCGUUCGGGCUCUCUCCCGGGCGGGACCUCGACCUGCGCGCCAGCCGCGGAGAGCCUUGUGCGUGCCCUUCGCGGAACACGGCCCGGUCGGGUCUGUUGGCCGUGAGACGGGGCAGACGGCCCUUGGGCGUGCGGGUGUGGCUCUCUCUAGAAGUUUGGGUCCUGCUGCCUGGGAAGAAGACUAGCUUUCCACCGGGUAGGAGGCUGCUUGCCGACAGCCCUGAAUUCAUUUGCUACCAUUUUGUGACCCUGGCUGGGGGAUUCCCCAGAUAGACACAUCUCCCCCAGUGGCUACCGGAAGUGUACUGUCAAGGCCAGUAACAGACCCGGAGCAAAGUUGGUUCCCUCCCCGCCCCGGUACUCCCUUCCCCCUCCUCCACCUGUCUCCCCUCCUCUACUGGCCCCCCCUCCCCACCUGUCCCCUCUGCUCCUCCUGCACCUGUCUUCCUCUCCUCUAUCAGCCCAGGCCCUCCUCCACCUGUCCCCUCUUCUCCACCUGUCUUCACUCCUCCUCCANNNNNNNNNNNNNNNNNNNNNNNNNNNNNNNNNNNNNNNNNNNNNNNNNNNNNNNNNNNNNNNNNNNNNNNNNNNNNNNNNNNNNNNNNNNNNNNNNNNNNCCCCCAGUGGCUACCGGAAGUGUACUGUCAAGGCCAGUAACAGACCCGGAGCAAAGUUGGUUCCCUCCCCGCCCCGGUACUCCCUUCCCCCUCCUCCACCUGUCUCCCCUCCUCUACUGGCCCCCCCUCCCCACCUGUCCCCUCUGCUCCUCCUGCACCUGUCUUCCUCUCCUCUAUCAGCCCAGGCCCUCCUCCACCUGUCCCCUCUUCUCCACCUGUCUUCACUCCUCCUCCACCUGUCCCCUCUGCCCCUCCUCCACCUGUCCCCUCUUCUCCACCUGUCUUCACUCCUCCUCCACCUGUCCCCUCUUCUCCAUCUGUCCUCACUCCUCCACCUGUCCCCUCUUCUCCACCUGUCCCCUCUGCCCCUCCUCCACCUGUCACCACCCCUCCUCUGCCUCAGCAUCUCCAAGCUUCCUGGGUUCUUAUUUCUACCCCCUCUCCUCCUAAGACCUGCCAAGUCUUAGAGGGGAGGCUGCCUCUGGCCUGGACGCAUUGGCUCUUCUCAGACCCCCUGAUGUGGAAUGCAUUCGCGGUCUCCCUGAGUCACGGUCUCCCUCGCCAUUCCUGAACCUACUUGGUGGCCGUGACACGUCGGAAGGCGGCCUGUCCGUUAUCCCAGACCGGGACUGGCCAAGCCCCACUUGUAGCACAUUGGGUCCUUUUGAGGAGCAUCUACUGGUUCCUUUAACUCCGUGGGGGAGGAGACUGUACGCGGGCAUCCGACGGAAGCGCAGGUUGAUUUAGCAGGAGGCUGCUUGUGCCAAGUGUGGGGACGGAGGUCUGUACUCCGCAGUGACCUUUCUAGAAGCUUCUACUCGUUCCCCCUUUACACACGUGACAUUUUUCUCCAACAACCUGGGUCCCACAGAUCAGGGGUCAGCAAAGGUGUCCCGCAGAGGCCCAGAUGGUGAAUAUUUCUGGCUUUGUGGGCCACGUGGUCUGUGUAGCGACUGCCCGGCUCUGCCGUGGUCACUGAGAGCAGCCGGAAGCCCUGCGCACAGGAGCGGGUGGCCGCGCUCCAAUGAAACGUAUUCAGGAGCACGGAAGGUGGGGCGCAGGAGGCCGGUGGGUUGGGGAUCGGAUGUGCUCCACAGUGGCCCAUGGUGAGGAGGUGCUGGGGUCCUGAACACGGGGUGGCCCAUUGGAAAGAGCAGACGGCCAGGCACAGUACGCGGGGCCUCAGCCAGGGUGAAGGAUGCCCUUGGGGGACAGUCUGGCGGGAAGAAUCUGGAAGAGGGGGACAUUAGGAGUUAGGAAGUUCUGUCUCUGGUGGAGGGACUGAGGUGAGCGGAGGUUGGCCAGGGCAGGUCGGGGAAGGACACAGCCUUAGCGAGAUGCUAGGAGACCUCCGGUCAGCCUCGGGCGGCCCCUGGCCCUGUUGCCACGAGCCCGGGUUCUUAGAGAUGGGUGCUGUGUCAAGCACGGCUUCACAGAGCACACCCAGCAGUCCGCGUGGCCUUGGGUCCCUGGCUCAAGGCGGCAGACGGAAACGUCAGAGUGGAGAUGCCAGCCGGAAGAGAGGUGGCCGGUGCCUCGGAGAAGCGCAGGGCGGCCACCCAGUGCCUCCUGUUGGCCUCCAGGUUGCGGGUUUGGGAGGCCGGGGGGGUCGGUCCACGCUCCCGCCGCCACAAGUGACCAGGGCCCGGGUGAGAAGCUCCCGGAACAGCCGGGGCCUUGCUGUGUUCCCACCGAGGCUCUGGCCGGAUGAAAGCCCGUCAGGGCCCCAGGCCUGGUGUUGGGAGCCGCGAGCCAUCAGGACCCUCGGCCCCGACGGUGAGGUGUGUGUCUGGCGGUGCCAGCUGGGUCCCGCCGGUGCACGUGUGUCUCCUUGGCAGAUUCUUGGGGUACCAAGGAGUGAGUUUUCCAUCUCGGCCUUGAGGUGUUUGCAGCCCACGGGGAGCACGAGCUAGAGACACGGGGGCCCCAAGAGCCCUAGGUGCACACAGCAGGAUUCGGGGGUCAGGCGGGCGCAGGGCCCCCUGGGUGUGGUGGCUGGACUCAGCCUCCUGGCACCUCGCACAGCGUGUCUCUCCUGAGACCCCCUCCCCUCUCAGCAGACCCUGGGGAGCUACUCAGACUUGGGGCAAGCCUAGCGGCCAGCAGAGCAGCCAAGACCUGGGUGUCACAUGCCGCGUGGCCCGCUGGUGACAAAGCCCUCCUGAGGGACAGAGGUCAUGCUCUGCGCCCCUGCCCCAGGCCAGCGUAGGGGAGGAGCCGGGAGAGGUCUUGCAAAUCAAGUCCACCUGACGGCCAGGCAGCGGCUCCAGGGAGGGAUGGAGACAGGGAGCGGGGACACCUUUGUGUGAUGGAAUUGUCACAUAGAUUAAGCUGGCGUUCGGCAGAAAAGAGGGCUGUCGGCCUCUUCUGUCCCAGGCCCCCAGCCACCCCACUGCCCUCGAGGGCCGUCCAGUGCUCCGAGGACGCGGAUCUGCCCCUGUGCCUUGCUUUGAGUUCAGACGAAGCUUGCUGGAUCCUCCUGACCCUCUGGGGGUGGCCCUUCCCCUCCCUCCUCCUCCCUCCUUCUGGGGAGCCGGGGCUGUGUGGGGUUAGGGUUAGGUGUGUGGGGAGGCAGGCUCUGGCAGGGACAACUGUGCGCGCCCUGAUGAUGACGUCAGCACGACCCUCCUCUGUGGCGAAGUCUGGCAGUUCCCAGCCACGCCCCAGGGCAAGGGGUUCAGUCCUGACCUGGGAUCCCACUGGCUGCCAGGAUCCCACUGACCGGAUCCCACUGGCCGGUCACAUCACUGGGUCUGACGCGCCCCCGGAAAGUUGGCACCAGGGGCCUGGACCCAGCUGGCCUCGCUGGUCAGGGCCAGAUUUUCCAGGAGCCUGGUUUCCAGGGUCAGGGGCAAUCCCCAAACCUGCUGGGGUGCAGAAAAGCUCCUCCAGGCCUCCUGCCUGGCCCUGUGCUCCCGGCCUCUGCCUGGAGCCCCUGGACAGACCCGCUGGCUCCCCACGUCCCCCUCGUGACGGAGCCGUGGGGGUUUCAUUCUCCCCGUCCCGUCGAUCCUUGGAGGGCCCCGUGACGUGGUGCUGUCCCGGCCGUGAGAGCCACGGCCACGGCCAGCACCCAGGUCUCCCUCGAGAAGCUUGUCCCUGCCUUGUUCCUCUGCCGUAAGAUGCGGAUGGAGGUGUCCCAUCCGUCCUGUCCAGGGAAGAAACCAGCCCAAACCCUGAGCUGGGGGGUGGGGGUUGUCCUCCUUGUCAAGCCCCGGUGCUGAGCUCUCUGACUCACCGCCCUGUCACCCCAGGUGGCCUGUGAGUACGGCAUGGUGCACGUGGUCUCCGAGUCAGGGGGCCCCAGAGGCAAGGACUACUGCAUUCUCUACAACCCUCAGUGGGCCCACCUGCCCCACGACCUGAGCAAAGCGGUGAGUACCCACUGGGGCGUCCCCUCUGGGGCCCUGCAGGCCCGGAGUGCUCUGGGGUGCCCCCUCCUGACUUGGGGUCCGGUCUGUGUUGCUGGCUGCCACCCUCCGCUCCCCAGCCUGCUGUCUGAGGGGACUGCUACAAGUCUUACCCUGCAGGGAACCAGCUGGAGGACAGAGGAAGGGCCUCAGCUGGGAAACCAACGUGGGGGGCCUGGUCACACUUGAGGGGCUGCUGGGGUCUCAGACGACCGUAGAGGGGCCCCAUCACCUCUCUGGGGCUUGGUUUCCUUGGUCAGAAACAAAAGGACGUUUGGGUGGUGUUGAGGCACAGCCCCUGCCGGGGGCGCUGGCCACCCCCCACGUGCUGGAUGGGCUUGUGGGUGAUUCUCACUGCCGAGGCCACGGCUCCCGCCUGCCCAGCCCGUGUUCCGUUUGCAGUGGAUGCUGGGAAGGUUUCUGGGGGCUUUUCUCUGAGCGCACGCCACCCCCUGCCCCUUCCGUUGGCCUCGCGCUCAGCCGUGUGGACGUGUGUGUGUGUGUGUGUGUGUGUGUGUGUGUGUGUGCGGCCCCCCACUGACUUUUCUAGAUCAGGUGGUGUCAACGCCCCCUUCCCCAGUCCCUCCUGCAGCUGCGGGACUGGACGGCCUCUGUGCUCU